AGGAAAAAAAAAUAAUAAUCGGUUCCUGGGAACCCCCCAAAAAAUAUUAAAAAAUCCACAAUUUUCGAAAAAAAAGCACAUUUGCACUACUGCAUCAAAAUAAGCACAUUUGCACUACUGCAUUCGAGAUACAACAAAAAUAAACAGUACCCUCCCGAGUUUCACGCGUAGUCCUAAAUUCUUACCAUCCCGAACUUCGAGCAUUAUCACCCAGAGUUUCACGCUGGUUUGACAAAUAUAGAUCACAUUUACUUACUGUCGGCGUCGAGUCAUUAGGGAGCUUUAAGAGAAGAUUAGACAGAUUUAUGGAUGGGGAUGAUAGGAGGAAACGGUCCAUCUUGACUAGUGGACAAGGCCUCCUGGAGGGCUGGAAGUCGAUUAUAAUACUCUUGCUGCAGCCAAAAGAGAGGGUCCUUCUCAAAGACAUCUGCUUCAUCCAGAUAGUUUUCCUCUCCCUUCAGAUUUGGUUCACAGCAAGAAAAUCAUGUGAUGCUGGUAAAGGUUAGCAGAAUGCUACACCUACUGAGGAACUGCCAUGAGCCAAAAAACCAAGCUCACAAUUUUCCUGUAACAAGUCAAGUACUGCACCAGAGCUAUAAGACUUUUUUUUUCUCAGGACUGGCAACAUUAUUAGAUUAUCCAGAGCCUGCAUGGUGUCCAGGGGCCCUCGCUGGUGGAUCACACCCAGAUACACCAAGGCAACCAGAUUUGGGAUUAGGAGCACCAAGAAGAUCACUUUCCUCCUGAAGAUGUAAUAAAAAUUUGUAA